rnacentral:rRNA from 1 species
GUGACGAAGCGACGCCGCGUGUGGGAAGAAGGCCUUCGGGUUGUAAACCACUGUCAGGAGUUAAGAAAUGUAAGGGUGCUAAUAGUAUCCUUACUUGACUAAGGCUCCAGAGGAAGCCACGGCUAACUCUGUGCCAGCAGCCGCGGUAAUACAGAGGUGGCAAGCGUUGUUCGGAAUUAUUGGGCGUAAAGAGCACGUAGGCGGUUCUGCAAGUCGGCUGUGAAAGCCUUCCGCUCAACGGAAGAACAGCAGUUGAUACUACAGGACUAGAGUGCGGGAGGGGAGAGUGGAACUUCUGGUGGAGCGGUGAAAUGCGUAGAUAUCAGAAGGAACGCCGGCGGCGAAAGCGACUCUCCGGCCCGUAACUGACGCUGAGUGUGCGAAAGCUAGGGGAGCAAACGGGAUUAGAUACCCCGGUAGUCCUAGCCGUAAACGAU